rnacentral:rRNA from 1 species
UACGUAGGGUGCAAGCGUUAAUCGGAAUUACUGGGCGUAAAGGGUGCGCAGGCGGUUCUGCAAGUCAGGCGUGAAAUCCCCGGGCUUAACCUGGGAAUGGCGCUUGAAACUACGGGACUGGAGUAUGGCAGAGGGAGGUGGAAUUCCACGUGUAGCGGUGAAAUGCGUAGAGAUGUGGAGGAACACCGAUGGCGAAGGCAGCCUCCUGGGCCAAUACUGACGCUCAUGCACGAAAGCGUGGGGAGCAAACAGG